UACGUAGGGCGCAAGCGUUGUCCGGAGUUAUUGGGCGUAAAGAGCUCGUAGGCGGUUUGUCGCGUCUGCUGUGAAAACCCGAGGCUCAACCUCGGGCCUGCAGUGGGUACGGGCAGACUAGAGUGCGGUAGGGGAGAUUGGAAUUCCUGGUGUAGCGGUGGAAUGCGCAGAUAUCAGGAGGAACACCAAUGGCGAAGGCGGUUCUCUGGGCAUUACCUGACGCUGAGGAGCGAAAGUGUGGGGAGCGAACAGG
rnacentral:rRNA from 1 species